rnacentral:lncRNA from 1 species
CUUCCUAAGGGGCCGCCCCCAGGUGGUGAAGCAUGGCCUGAUGUGACGAGCAUGGAACUUAUGGGUCAUAUAGGUCAUCAGUUGUGGAACAAAGUGACUAAUAUCCACAGCUAGAGUUCCUGUUUUCUAGUUUUCCCGAUUUUGACCAUUCCGCCUGCCCUGACCCUGAGACUGCCUGCCGUUCUGUACCUUGUCACACCACCCUGGAUUUUUGACCUCUGCCUGCCCUGACCCUGAGCCUGCCUGCCUGCCAUUCUGUACCUUGUCACACCACCCUGGAUUUCUACCUCCGCCUGCCCUGACCCCGAGACUGCCUGCCGUUCUGUACCUUUUGGACUCUGAUCUGGAUUACUGACCUCUGCCUGCCCUUGACCUGUCGUUUUGCCU